rnacentral:lncRNA from 1 species
AUGUCUUCUGUUAUUUGGGAGGAUGUCAGGAGAGUAAACUGUGAACUGGAACAUGAUAUUGUGCCAAUCUCUUUUCUCAUCUCCCCAUCUGACUGUCAAGUUCCAGGAUCCAUGAUCACUUGUGUCACACCUAAGCCAUGGAGGUGGCCCAGCCUUGAUCCCUUCAGGUCUCUGAGGUCACCCAGGGAGCAUUACAAAGCUUAUGGAAUAUGCAUCAGUCUCACAGGAAGCCCUCUGGAAGGAGUUUCACAAUAGGAUCUGGUUUCAAGAGCUGAAAUUUCACCUGAAAAUAUGGAAUUUGCAGAGAUGGAAAACCCACUGUUAUUUCCUCUGUGCAUUGUCAAAGCACAUCCUGGGAUAAUGAAACAUUUGUGCAUUAAAG